rnacentral:rRNA from 1 species
GAUGAACGCUGGCUACAGGCUUAACACAUGCAAGUCGAGGGGAAACGACGGGGAAGCUUGCUUCCCCGGGCGUCGACCGGCGCACGGGUGAGUAACGCGUAUCCAACCUGCCUCUGACUGAGGGAUAACCCGUCGAAAGUCGGCCUAAUACCUCAUGGCAUCGUCUGCGGGCAUCCAACGACGAUUAAAGAUUUCAUCGGUCAGAGAUGGGGAUGCGUCUGAUUAGCUUGUUGGCGGGGUAACGGCCCACCAAGGCGACGAUCAGUAGGGGUUCUGAGAGGAAGGUCCCCCACAUUGGAACUGAGACACGGUCCAAACUCCUACGGGAGGAAGCAGUGAGGAAUAUUGGUCAAUGGGCGAGAGCCUGAACCAGCCAAGUAGCGUGCAGGAUGACGGCCCUAUGGGUUGUAAACUGCUUUUAUGCGGGGAUAAAGUGAGGGACGUGUCCUUCAUUGCAGGUACCGCAUGAAUAAGGACCGGCUAAUUCCGUG